ACAAUUUCAAACAUACACUAGUCUUUUACAAUUUGUUACAAUAUUACAAUUUACAGUCUACUACAGAACCAAAAAACUCCUUCGCACUUGGCUUCACGGCCUCGCACUUGAAAAAACUUAGGCCUAGAGCUCCUGUAAAAGAGUAAACAUAGCAUUAGAGUGUACUGCUGUUGAGGCUAGAACCAAACAACUUCAAUGGCAACACUAAAUGUAAGCGAUAGAACAGAUUUAAAAAGGUAAACAAAAUAUGCAUUAUGGUACACUUAAGAAGAUGUGGUAAAUGUUUAGCAAAAUUGUUCAUGGGAGUAACCUUAAUUGUUCAAAAUCAGAGUUGAAAAUGCACGGAAAUUAAGUUACAGAAGACAAUCAGGUAUUCUAUUUACACAGCAUUGUCAACAAUAAAUACAAUUCUCUAUGAGCGACAAAAUUAGUUUUCUUUACAUCCUUAAUCCUUGCAAGUUGAAAAAAGACAAGAUAGCAUCAAAUCAGGUUAUAGUUUGUGGGAAUCAAUGCACACAGCAUGAACGAACAAAAUGGGAAUCAAGUAGGCUCAUCCUCUUUCUCAUUCCAGAUUUGGUGUUUAUUGGCUUAGUAGCAGAGGCGGAAACAGAAGCAUUUGAGGUGGAAAGCUACGUACAUGUGCACUUGCGAGGCCACAUAUUCUGGGUCGUCCACCACACUAGCAACCAUCACGUACCCAUCGCCUUCAGCAAUGUUACUCCUACAGCAGCAACAGAUAACCAUUUAUAAAUUAAACGGACCAGCUAUGCAUACAAGGUUAUCUAAGCAUGUAAGUACAAUCCAGGUAUAAAGUGGAUGGCAAAGCGUGGUUGUUGUUGUUGCUACUUUAGCAAACUGAGCUAAUUAAUCUCAUCAACCUAAUACACUUCUCUCGAAAAAGAAAAAACAACUUAAAAUAUUGAGUACGGCAGCAACAUCUACUUGUUACUGGAGUUCCAGUUCAAGAUGGCCAGAGGCCACUUGGCACCAUGGAACCUGCACAAUUUCCACCAUAUAUAUGAAUGAGUUAGAAAAAAUACUAGUGUUGAACUACCCGGCCUCAUACAUAUAUAUACAUAGGAGCAAAUUUGAUUACACAAGAAGGUAGCUGGAGUGGUGGUCGACGAAAUGAAAAUCGACGGCCACGGCUCAGCGAGGAGACGAGCUCAACAUUGAAGUUUCGCAAAACAGGAAUACAUUAAUUUGAGAGUGGGUUUUAGUAGCUCAAGCUUAGUUAAGUUAAGCACUUAGUACUAAACAGCAACAACACUUGAACCGUAACAUGUCCAGAAAGAAAACAAAACAUGAGACCAGUAUUGAUAGCAAGUCCACGAAGGCCAUCCAAUGGUUUCAGCCACAUCCUAAUAAACCUGCAGCAUUCUUUAGCACCUAAUUAUCAGCAAGAAAUCAAUGUCUAUAUGAGCACCACCACAACAAAUCGGCACUAACACUUGGCCAUCGACGCGAUGCCCAAGCAAGGAAGCAGCUCGCACACGCAAGAUGAUGAUUGCAUACAUACAAAUCAUGUGCUGGCAGAAAAAAACCAAGCAUGAGCUCAUCUUCUCUCUCUGUUUGGUAACUAACAACCUAAAUAAAAUAAAAUAAAAACAUGACUUGUUCAUACAGAUCCCUCUAAAAUUCCUUGGGACAAGUGCAUCACAUAUUCGUCAACUUAGCAGCAGAAGUAGUGAGCACAGGAAGAGGGGGAGGGAGAUGGAGGAGCUACCUGCCGCGAUCGCAAUCGAAGCAGAGGAGCAGACCCCUCCUGCCCAUCCCCCACAUGCAGGACAGGGAUGUCGGCUGGGCACACCCCUACUCCUCCGCCUCCUCGAGCAGGAGACCCCCUUCCCCUACUGCUGCUUGGCGCGCCGCAUCACUAGUCACCUCCUCAUGCAAGAAGUACACAAUAAAUAGACAGAUGGUCAGUGAGGUACAUUUUCACAGCAAGAGAAGCUUAGAAUUAACAGAAAUACACACAUCAAAUGAAGUCACUAAGAUACUUAAGUCCACCACAUGGUGUAGACGCGUGCCUAGUUGGGUAGUUUUAAGCGCCGCCAGGGCAUGCGGUCAAAACUGUCCAGUUUUCCUGUUGGCAGGAGUAACAUAUCAAGUAUGAAAGCUUGGACUUGGAUCAAGAUAUUAACUAUUCUUUCAUGCAUAUGCAGGUGCAUCCUACAGACUACAGUACAGCACCAACUUGACACCCGAGUAGUCCAACUUGAUAGGUGGGAGUAACAUUUACAGUAUCAAGCUUGGACUUGCAUCCCACAUGUCAAUUCUUCUACUACCUAGAAGCUAGAGCAAGCAUAUGCAGGUGGUAUAACAUAACAUAAAGAGCAACAACUUGAUAAGUCUGCCCCAAUAGUCCAAGACGUGGAAAACAACAUAACAUAAAGAGCAACAACUUGAUAAGUCUGCCCCAAUAGUCCAAGUCAUGGAAAACAAUGUACAGCAACCCUAAGAAAUCUACUUGCUUGCUCAACAAACGUCGAACAACAGUAGGAACGCGCUAUAUGCUUCAUCACCACGUACCACCGUACGUACCAUGUUCCUCCUCCACCCAGCAGCACAGACUGGAUAGGAACAUUUACAGUAAAUCCAGCUUGGAUUAGCUCAAGCAUGAAAUAGAAGCCGAUUGAACCAGACCAGCCCAGCACAAGAAACUGAACUCUAGCUUCUACUCAAUUCCUCAUCAUUUAUACUCUGUGACACCAUGACAUGUAUGCAAGCACCGAAUAAUCAGAUCCAACUCGUAGCCUAACGCCUACGCAACAAACAAAAGCAUCAAAUCGAAGCAACCUGAGCUAGACCGAGCACACAGAUAACUGAACUUGGAGCACAGAAAUGGCUAUCCGAUUCAAGCAGCCACCAAACAGCCAGGGCCCCGCCGAGCGCGAACUUCCUGGAAAUAGUCCACCCAGCAGCAUCCGCGAUAGCUACAAAGCAGAAGCACUCCCGGCACUGGCACUGAUAUCCAUCAACUUGCUGCAGCCAGCUCGAAAUCCUGCCAAUAAAUGAGGAUAUUGUAUCAAGAUCAGUAGUGAUGAGCAUGCUGGUGUCCAACACAGCAACUUGUGAUAACAACCAAAAUGGUAGAAAUAAAUCACACAUCAUGCUUCAAACGGCAGCUCCAAAAUGCAAAUUAAGCAUAGAGUGUAUUAUGUUCCACAUAUCUCAAUACAGUCAUGAAAAUAUCAUCUAUGCCCUUUGAGGUAAUUCUGUUCUUGCACCUUUUUUUGUGACUGUCAAUCCUCUUUGAGUGUGGUUGGCAUUUCAAGUUGAGACAAGAAAAAAAAUUAGGAGAUCAAGAUCUUUUUCACUACUCUAUGAAUAUGUACCAUCGAUGAAAAGACUGCCUUAUCACACAGAUAAAAACACUGAUCCUAAAUAAACACUGACCCUAGGCUGCAGCAUCUGACAGUUUAGUUCAGGAAUAACAUCCAUUGUUGGUGAUGAGAACAACUAUGGUUCCAGUUGAUAUAUAGAAAACAUGCAGCAGAACGGCCCACUGGUAAAUUCUAUCGGACUUGAACACAUUAAUUACUUGCCACCUCUUUUGCCAAUUUUGUUUCUACGAAAGCACAAUGUUAAUUCAUAACUUAAUUAAAGAUGCAACACUACCAGCGGGAUGCAUGACCUUCAUGUGUGGGUUAAUGCCGCAUAAAAAACAAUGAUUUUACUUCAGGAAUAAUGAUUCUAGUGAAUGAUGCAAGAGAGAAACGGGUUCCAUCCGUCACAAUUAACACAAACAACUACUACUUCACCGUAAGCUAGCGAAUUCCAGGACAGACUCGCGGAGAAAGCAGUACUAGGAACGCGUGGAAGGGGAGAGGAGGUGAGGUGUGGUGGGGUACCGCGGCGGUGAAGAAGGUCUUGUCGCCGACCUCGGAGAGCACGGUCAUGGCCAGCGACUUGGUGAGCCCCUGCAGCAGGAAGGAACCAAGCGAAAAAAACAAGGUCAAUUCAGCAACCUGCACCUGUGCCGCGCAACGAGAAAGAGAGGAGAGAGGGGGAGGGAGGGGAGCUGACCUCGAGCAGAGACGGCGACAUGGCGGCCGGCGGCGGAGGGAGGCGCCGAUUCCGAUCUUGCAGGUGAGGAGAGGAUGUGCAGGGACCUUGACGAAGAACUCAGAGACGGCGGGGACCUUGAUGAUGAACCCCGCGGCGGGAUCCCAGACCUGGUGGGCGGGGACGGCCAUGUCACCGGCGCUGGGGCGGGAGCGGCAGGUGGAGCAGCGCCGGAGUUGGUGCGGGCGUGGGGUAGCAGGUCGCGGGUGUGGCCCCGCGGAGCAAGACCCUCCUGGCCGCAGUGCCGGAGUUGGUGCGGGCGUGAGGUAGCAGGUCGCGGGUGCGUCCCCGUGGAGCGAGGCCCUCCUGGCCGCGGCGGCGCGGCCCUCGGCGCCGCGGAGGCCGACGCCAAGAAGGGCAACCCCGCCGAGGAGGCAAUGGCGAGGGCGGGGGAGGCGGAGGCCUUGAGCGCGAACGUCGACGGCGGAGGAAGGGGACGGUGGACGAGGGGAGUCUUGGAUUGGAUCUGGAGAGAAUGGGGGCGGCGGCUGCCGAGGAGGAAGGGGAGGGGAUCGAGAGGAAGGGGAGAGGAGGAGCAGAGAGCGAGGGAAAGAAAGGAGGCGGGGGGUGGAUGGAAAAU
rnacentral:lncRNA from 1 species